UCCAUCAAAGGGCAGGACAAAAGUAGCCCCC
rnacentral:sRNA from 1 species